rnacentral:rRNA from 1 species
CUCGUAGGUGGCCAACUAAGUCAGACGUGAAAUCCCUCAGCUUAACUGGGGAACUGAGUCUGAUACUGGAUGGCUUGAGUUUGGGAGAGGGAUGCGGAAUUCCAGGUGUAGCGGUGAAAUGCGUAGAUAUCUGGAGGAACACCGGUGGCGAAGGCGGCAUCCUGGACCAACACUGACACUGAUGAGCGAAAGCCAAGGGGAGCAAAACGG